AUAGCAUAUCAAUAAGCGGAGGAAAAGAAACCAACAGGGAUUGCCCCAGUAACCGGCGAGUGAAGCGGCAAGAGCUCAAAUUUGAAAUCUGGCCCCUCCGGGGUCCGAGUUGUAAUUUGCAGAGGAUGCUUCGGGCGCGGUCCCCGUCUAAGUACCCUGGAACGGGUCGUCAUAGAGGGUGAGAAUCCCGUCUGGGACGGGUGGCCGUGUCCGUGUGAAGCUCCUUCGACGAGUCGAGUUGUUUGGGAAUCCAGCUCUAAAUGCGUGGUAAAUUUCAUCUAAAGCUAAAUAUUGGCCGGAGACCGAUAGCGCACAAGUAGAGUGAUCGAAAGAUGAAAAGCACUUUGAAAAGAGAGUUAAACAGCACGUGAAAUUGUUGAAAGGGAAGCGCUUGCGACCAGACUCGCCCGCGGGGGUUCAGCCGGUACUCGUACCGGUGUACUCCCCCGUGGGCGGGCCAGCGUCGGUUUGGGCGGUCGGUCAAAGGCCUCCGGAAUGUGUCGCCCCCCGGGGCGUCUUAUAGCCGGAGGUGCAAUGCGGCCAGCCCGGACCGAGGAACGCGCUUCGGCUCGGACGCUGGCGUAAUGGUCGUAAGCGGCCCGUCUUGAAACACGGACCGAAGGAGUCUAACAUCUACGCGAGUGUUCGGGUGUCAAACCCGUCCGCGCAGUGAAAGCGAACGGAGGUGGGAACCCCCCCGGGGGUGCACCCAUCGACCGAUCCCUGAUGUCUUUCAGAUGGAAUUUUGAGUUAAGAGCGUAGCUGUUGGGACCCGAAAAGAUGGGUGAACUAUGCCCUGAAUAGGGCGAAGCCCAGAGGAAACUCUGGUGGAAGGCUCGCAGCGGUUCUUGACGUGCAAAUCCAUCGUCGAAUUUUGGGUAAUAGGGGCGAAAAGACUUAUUGUAACCAUUCCUGGUAGCUUGAUUGCAUGCCGAAGCCCCCCCCCCCAGGGGAAA
rnacentral:rRNA from 1 species